GCUUUUAUAGGGUAGGGUGCCACAUCAGACAUCUCACGCCCAGCGCCAUUAAAAUNGCGCCCAGCGCGAAAUACCUCUGGAAACAGUGGAAUCUCACGCCCAGCGUGAGGCAGUGGCGCUCAGCGUGAACAAACAGAGAAAACUCGCGCCCAGCGUGACAAACUUGCGCCCAGCGUGAGAUCUUGCUGGAAACAGCCAAUUUUCACGCCCAGCGUGAGAAGGUUGGCGCCCAGCGCCAGUCUAGCUUCUUGGACUUCUUCUUUUGUGGUCCUCCC
rnacentral:lncRNA from 1 species